rnacentral:lncRNA from 10 species
GGUGAGUCUAAAAUAUACUUUGGGGCCAGGCGCACAGAUCACUUAAAGCUUAAAGUCAGGAGUUUGAGACUAUCCUGGCCAACAUGGCAAAACCCCGUGUCUACUAAAAAUACAAAAAUUAGCCACGCAUGCACCUGUAGCUACUAGGGAGCCAGGAGAAUCGCUUGAACCUGGGAGGCAGAGGUUGCAGUGAGCCGAGAUCAUGCCACUGCACUCCAGCCUGGGCAACAGAACAAGACUCUGUCUCAAAACAAAACAUACUCUGGGGGUCUUUUCUGGGAAGCAGUGUUAGGAAUAUCAUAAUUUUGAUGUAAGAACCUUCAGCUAAAAACAUAGUUCCAGUUCCCCAUGUAUCUAGAAAUAAGGCAUAAAUACAGCAUUCAGAUGUAUCCUUGUGGAAAUGAUGACAUGGACAAAAGCAACACAUGUGGGACCACAGACUCAUGGGCAGUAGGAACAAAACUCCCCUUACGGUACCUCUAUUCAUCAGUACUUUGGUGAGGUGGAGACUCAGACCCAUCCAGAAUGGGUGAGACUGGGCAUGAUUCAGAAAAGUUGGAAGAUCUAGAGAGGGAUCUUGCAAUCUGAAGUUUCUUGUUUAGUCACUGGAGGAUCUGAACGUCUAUGACACUCUUUCGAGCUGACACAGUGAAGAACAUAGAAGGAGAACUCACCCAGUCUGCCAGGGUCACAGAAUGAUCAUACUCAAGAUCUUCCUGGGGAGUCAAUGGCAAAUUUCACUGGG